rnacentral:rRNA from 1 species
CAAUAGCGUAUAUUAAAGUUGUUGCAGUUAAAAAGCUCGUAGUUGGAUUUGUGGCGUACGGUGGGUUCCGGGCACUUGUUGUCUGAGUAACUUGCUGUUGCCAUCCUUGGGUGGAACCUGUGUGGCAUUAGGUUGUCGUGCAGGGGAUGCCCAUCAUUUACUGUGAAAAAAUUAGAGUGUUCAAAGCAGGCUUAUGCCGUUGAAUAUAUUAGCAUGGAAUAAUGAGAUAGGACUUUUUUGCUAUUUUGUUGGUUUGCGCAAAGAGGUAAUGGUUAAUAGGGACAGUUGGGGGUAUUCGUAUUCCAUUGUCAGAGGUGAAAUUCUUGGAUUUUUGGAAGACGAACUACUGCGAAAGCAUUUACCAAGGAUGUUUUCAUUAA